GACGAACGCUGGCGGCGUGCCCUAAUACAUGCAAGUAGAACGCUGAAGGGAGAGCUUGCUCUUCUGGAUGAGUUGCGAACGGGUGAGUAACGCGUAGGUAACCUCCCUGGUAGCGGGGGAUAACUAUUGGAAACGAUAGCUAAUACCGCAUAAUAGUAGAUGUUGCAUGACAUUUGCUUGAAAGGUGCAAUUGCAUCACUACCAGAUGGACCUGCGUUGUAUUAGCUAGUUGGUGGGGUAACGGCUCACUAAGGCGACGAUACAUAGCCGCCCUGAGAGGGUGAUCGGCCACACUGGGACUGAGACACGGCCCAGCACUCCUACGGGAGGACACGCAGUAGGGAAUCUUCGGCAAUGGACGGAAGUCUGACCGAGCAACGCCGCGUGAGUGAAGAAGGUUUUCGGAUCGUAAAGCUCUGUUGUAAGAGAAGAACGAGUGUGAGAGUGGAAAGUUCACACGG
rnacentral:rRNA from 1 species